rnacentral:ncRNA from 1 species
ACUUCGGAGAAGCUCAAGUAUUCUGAGUGCCGAAGGGGCAAGAUUUUUAGACGAAAAAAUCGAAACUCUCAGGCAAAAGGACGAAGA